GCUAGCGGACGACACUUUCAGU
rnacentral:misc_RNA from 1 species